rnacentral:rRNA from 1 species
UACGAAGGGGGCUAGCGUUGUUCGGAUUUACUGGGCGUAAAGCGCACGUAGGCGGAUCUUUAAGUCAGGGGUGAAAUCCCGGGGCUCAACCUCGGAACUGCCUUUGAUACUGAAGAUCUUGAGUUCGGGAGAGGUGAGUGGAACUGCGAGUGUAGAGGUGAAAUUCGUAGAUAUUCGCAAGAACACCAGUGGCGAAGGCGGCUCACUGGCCCGAUACUGACGCUGAGGCACGGAAAGCGUGGGGAGCAAACAGG